GAUGAACGCUGGCGGCGUGCCUAAUACAUGCAAGUCGAGCGAACAGACGAGAGUGCUUGCACUCUCUGACGUUAGCGGCGGACGGGUGAGUAACACGUGGGUAACCUACCUAUAAGACUGGGAUAACUUCGGGAAACCGGAGCUAAUACCGGAUAAUAUUUAGCUUCGCAUGAAGCAAUAGUGAAAGACGGUUCUGCUGUCACUUAUAGAUGGACCCGCGGUGUAUUAGCUAGUUGGUGAGGUAACGGCUCACCAAGGCAACGAUACAUAGCCGACCUGAGAGGGUGAUCUGCCACACUGGGACUGAGACACGGCCCAGACUCCUACGGGAGGCAGCAGUAGGGAAUCUUCCGCAAUGGACGAAAGUCUGACGGAGCAAUGCCGCGUGAGUGAAGAAGGUUUUCGGAUCGUAAAGCUCUGUUGUAAGGGAAGAACAAGUACGUUAGUAACUGAACGUACCUUGACGGUACCUUACCAGAAAGCCACGGCUAACUACGUG
rnacentral:rRNA from 1 species